rnacentral:rRNA from 1 species
AUUGAACGCUGGCGGCACGCCUAACACAUGCAAGUCGAGCGGUAACACAGUGUGUAGCAAUACACAUGGGUGACGAGCGGCGGACGGGUGAGGAACACGUAGGAACCUGCCCUUUAGCGGGGGACAACCAAGGGAAACUUUGGCUAAUACCGCGUAAACUCGAGAGAGUAAAGCUGCCCGCAAGGGUGGCGCUAAAGGAGGGGCCUGCGUCCGAUUAGUUAGUUGGUAAGGUAAUGGCUUACCAAGGCGAUGAUCGGUAACUGGUCUUAGAGGACGACCAGUCACGCUGGGACUGAGACACGGCCCAGACUCCUACGGGAGGCAGCAGUGGGGAAUCUUGGACAAUGGGGGCAACCCUGAUCCAGCGAUGCCGCGUGAGUGAAGAAGGCCUUCGGGUCGUAAAGCUCUUUAGGUUGGGAAGAAGUUUAGUAGUUUAAGAGAUAACUAAAUUGACUGUACUGACAGAAUAAGCACCGGCAAACUCUGUGCCAGCAGCCGCGGUAA